GCUCCAGAGUAUGCCUCUUCUGGUAAGCUCACUGAGAAGUCAGAUGUCUUUUCCUUUGGUGUUGUGCUUCUUGAGUUGAUCACAGGGCACCGGCCAGUUGAUAAGACUCAAUCCUUCCUUGGUGAUAGUAUAGUUGAUUGGGCAAGGCCUUUGCUCAAACAAGCUUUGGAAGAAGGCGUCUAUGAUGCUCUUGCUGAUCCAAAAUUACAGGGGGACUAUGAUUCCAAUGAAAUGACUCGAAUGAUUUCAUUUGCUGCAGCCUGUAUACGUCAUUCAGCACAUCUUCGACCACGAAUGAGCCAGAUAGUUCGAGCACUGGA
rnacentral:misc_RNA from 1 species